AGAGAUGGAUGGUGCCUUCGGGAACUCUGAGACAGGUGCUGCAUGGCUGUCGUCAGCUCGUGUUGUGAAAUGUUGGGUUAAGUCCCGCAACGAGCGCAACCCUUAUCCUUUGUUGCCAGCGGUCCGGCCGGGAACUCAAAGGAGACUGCCAGUGAUAAACUGGAGGAAGGUGGGGAUGACGUCAAGUCAUCAUGGCCCUUACGAGUAGGGCUACACACGUGCUACAAUGGCGCAUACAAAGAGAAGCGACCUCGCGAGAGCAAGCGGACCUCAUAAAGUGCGUCGUAGUCCGGAUUGGAGUCUGCAACUCGACUCCAUGAAGUCGGAAUCGCUAGUAAUCGUGGAUCAGAAUGCCACGGUGAAUACGUUCCCGGGCCUUGUACACACCGCCCGUCACACCAUGGGAGUGGGUUGCAAAAGAAGUAGGUAGCUUAACCUUCGGGAGGGCGCUUACCACUUUGUGAUUCAUGACUGGGGUGAAGUCGUAACAAGGUAGGCGUAGUGCU
rnacentral:rRNA from 1 species